rnacentral:pre_miRNA from 1 species
CUACUACUUCCUCCGUUUCGGAUUACUUAUCGCAGGUAUGAAUAUAUCUAGAUGUAUUUUAGUUUUAGAUACAUCCAUUUAUGCGAUGAGUAAUUUGAAAUGGAGGAAGUACUAG